UUUGAUAAGUCAGCGGUGAAAGUUUGCAGCUUAACUGUAAAAAUGCCGUUGAAACUGUCGGACUUGAGUGUAAAUGAGGUAGGCGGAAUGCGUGGUGUAGCGGUGAAAUGCAUAGAUAUCACGCAGAACUCCGAUUGCGAAGGCAGCUUACUAAGCUACAACUGACACUGAAGCACGAAAGCGUGGGGAUCAAACAGGAUUAGAUACCCUGGUAGUCCACGCAGUAAACGAUGAUUACUAGCUGUUUGCGAUACACAGUAAGCGGCACAGCGAAAGCGUUAAGUAAUCCACCUGGGGAGUACGCCGGCAACGGUGAAACUCAAAGGAAUUGACGGGGGCCCGCACAAGCGGAGGAACAUGUGGUUUAAUUCGAUGAUACGCGAGGAACCUUACCCGGGCUUGAAUUGCAGACGAAUGAUGUGGAAACAUGUCAGCCAGCAAUGGCGUCUGUGAAGGUGCUGCAUGGUUGUCGUCAGCUCGUGCCGUGAGGUGUCGGCUUAAGUGCCAUAACGAGCGCAACCCUCGCCGAUAGUUACUAACAGGUAGUGCUGAGGACUCUAUCGGGACUGCCAUCGUAAGAUGCGAGGAAGGUGGGGAUGACGUCAAAUCAGCACGGCCCUUACGUCCGGGGCGACACACGUGUUACAAUGGGGGGGACAGAGGGCUGCCACUGGGCGACCAGGAGCCAAUCCCUAAACCCUCUCUCAGUUCGGAUCGAAGUCUGCAACCCGACUUCGUGAAGCUGGAUUCGCUAGUAAUCGCGCAUCAGCCAUGGCGCGGUGAAUACGUUCCCGGGCCUUGUACACACCGCCCGUCAAGCCAUGGGAGCUGGGGGUGCCUGAAGUGCGUAGCCGCAAGGAGCGUCCUAGGGCAAAACCGGUGACUGGGGCUAAGUCGUAACAAGGUAACC
rnacentral:rRNA from 1 species